rnacentral:rRNA from 1 species
UACGUAGGGGGCAAGCGUUGUCCGGAUGUAUUGGGCGUAAAGAGCGUGUAGGCGGCCAAGCAGGUCAGCUGUGAAAACUCGAGGCUCAACCUCGAGACGUCGGUUGAAACCGUUUGGCUAGAGUCCGGAAGAGGAGAGUGGAAUUCCCGGUGUAGCGGUGAAAUGCGCAGAUAUCGGGAAGAACACCCGUGGCGAAGGCGGCUCUCUGGGACGGUACUGACGCUGAGACGCGAAAGCGUGGGGAGCGAACAGG